CCUACGGGUGGCAGCAGUGGGGAAUAUUGCACAAUGGGGGAAACCCUGAUGCAGCGACGCCGCGUGAAUGAUGAAGGCCUUCGGAUUGUAAAGUUCUUUUCUAAGGGAAGAAGAAAGUGACGGUACCUUAGUAAUAAGCCUCGGCUAACUACGUGCCAGCAGCCGCGGUAAUACGUAGGAGGCGAGCGUUAUCCGGAAUGACUGGGCGUAAAGGUUGCGUAGGUGGUUUGGCAAGUUAGUAGCGUAACUCCAAGGCUCAACCUUGGAACUACUAAUAAAACUGUUGGACUUGAGUGCAGGAGGGGCAACCGGAAUUCCUGGUGUAGCGGUGGAAUGCGUAGAGAUUAGGAGGAACACCAGUGGCGAAGGCGGGUUGCUAGACUGUAACUGACACUGAGGCACGAAAGCGUGGGGAGCAAACAGGAUUAGAUACCCUAGUAGUC
rnacentral:rRNA from 1 species